UAACCGCAACGAUGGCAUAUAUGUUCUGGAGGGUGUCAAAGCUUUAGGUCCGUCUGAUCUGAGUUUUAUAUUUAGAUCUCCGUUAUUUGUAUAUGAUUUUAUAAUGUUAUAAACACUUGAAUGACGUUUCCCUACUAUGUUGCCAAUUUCACUUAAAGUUUUAUUUUCCAAAUAUAAUUUUAAUAUUAAUUUCCUUACUUCGAGCGAAAUUUGUAAGCCGCGGCCCAUUUUUUUUUAUUUCAGCUACUACACUAAGCUUUUACACUAAGCUUUAACACUUCUACGUUUUUACAUUUGAUUAUGUGUAUUUCUCUCUCCGGCUUACACAAAUUAUUAAAAAAAAAUUAAUCAAACGCAAAAAAAUCAACAAACAUAAUACGCUGAAUGAGCUGUACCUAAACUUUUUUGAGUAUUUUUGGCUGCUUUUUUAAGUCACAGCGUCUAAGUAGUGCCACAAGAUAGAUUACGCCACAAAAUCACUCAGUAACGAUCAGCGAAUGCUGUUCUAAGAAGGUACAUAACGGUUUUUUUUUAACUUUUGUUGAAAUAAGUUGUUUGAACGAUUUUUGGUACGAAUUGUUACUGUACCUAAACUUAAUUGAUUCACUGUAUGUCAAGUGGCAUUUGUAUAUUUUGUUCAAAGUAUUUAAUUUUUCUUUAUGUUGGUAAAUACGUAUUUUGUCAGAGAACGUUGUUAUAAAUUCUUAUUUCUGUUAAAUAACAGCAAAUAUUACAGAAAAUGAACUCCUUGAUCUCAAUUUUUCAGCUCUGUUUGCCGUCCAAUCGAGCAUCAUACAAAAUACAAUUUGCACCUUCUCGUUCUUCUAAGUUCUCUGAUUCAACCAGAUCAAGAACGACACCAAACUGUCAAUUAACUUGGAGUUUUUUCGCACCAGAAUCGAAAGUUUUGUUUAAUUACCGCACCACUCACCAUAACCAUAACGACCAUAAAAUGGCAAAAGCACACGAAAAGUUGCAAUUGGAGAACGAUUUUGAUUAUAAAAUUGAAUAAACGUUAUUCUUGCGUAUAUCUUUCCAUGAUGAAAUUGUAAACAUUACACAAUGCAAUGACAAAAAAUACAGAUCAUGACAUAUUAAAAAUGGUCGAAACAACACUUUGAAAUCACAUCGUCCCUAAUGGAAAUCCCGAUUUAGUAUAUGUAUGUAUGUGUGUAUGUACAAAUGGUUGUUUGCAUGUUUGAAUGUUUGUAACUCUUUUUUUUUAAAUGACACUGUGACAAAAGAAUCAACAAAUUUCAAGGGACAAUAUUACAAGUUUUUUCGGUCAAUAUUUCUGUCAGUUUAUAUACAAUACGACCUUUUUUUCACUUAAUUGUUUGAAGUGCUCCAAAAGCGUGUUUUUUUUUAACUAUAUUUAUAAAUUUACAGUUACACAAGUGACGAGCUGCGUUUGCAAAGUUCGGUUUCCUAAAUAUAUAAAGUUUUAAUAAAGGGGCGUUCGCGUCAAUUGGAAGUCCGAAACUUAUUUCUAUUUGAGAUCGGUGAAUCAAUGUGUAAAAUUUUGUAAAAAAAUUUUUUUUUAAUAAUUAUGCCACCAAUUUUAAACGCCAUGUGAAAACUGAGCACAGUGACUUUUUUUGGGAGACUUUAUCAAAAUUUGGCUGGAAUUAAAACUUUCAGUUAAAAUAAACAAGAAACUCCUAUAAUGAACAACGUUAUGGCCCUAGCCGCUUUACACUUAUCCGAAAAAUUUACUGAUAUAAGAAGGUAAUUGUACCGGCAAAUUAGAAAUUUUCGUUUCGUCAUUGUUUACAUUGAAGUAAUUCUAUAUUAUUAAAAUUAAAUUAUUAAUCAGCAUGACAGUGAAACUUCUGCUUCGACACCAAACCUUCCAAAUACACUACAAACUACAACUUUUGCAAAUACAGCUUCGCUGCUGAGACAACAUUUGAACUCAAUUGUGCGUCUUUCUUUGAUGAAGAAUGUGAUGAAAAUAUUGAAGAUGAGUUGCAAAAAGCUUUAUCGGAAAUCGAAAAUUACAAUCUAAAAGCGGUUAUUAUCGAUAUGGAUAUUAUAAAAUAUUGACACAAUAAAAAAUACAUAUGUAUGCAUUUUCUAAUUUGUAUCAAUUAGCUAAGGCCAUUCACGCCGUGCCUGCUACACAAGCGUCUAAAGAUCCUUUUCAGCUUUAAAAAUUAAAUUAAGCGAUUUAAGAUACAACUUAUCCCCUGAGAGCCUAGAAAAUGUUGUACAUAUAAUAAAUGUUAAAUGUUAAAAAAAAACCUUUUUGUUUUAUACUAUUUUGAAUAUUUAGUGAAUUUUACUCUAAUUUAUCUUAAAUAAAUCAAAUGAAUUAGAUAAGAGUGUUAAUAAUCACAUUUGAUUUCACUUUAACCGAAUAAAAUGCAAUUUCUGUUUUUAUAUUUCUAAAAUAAAUGAGCGACUGGUGGCCCUCACUGUCAAGGGCUUACUAGUAUAUCGUCAAAUAAUGAUAAUGGUAAUUCUAAUUCUAAUUAAGAGCACACAAAUUUUACUCACAAUUUAAUUCUUACUUUAUGAUCUGAAACUAAUACUCAUCACAAAAUGUAUUAUUAACCGCCGAGUAAGAAGUUUCAAGCGAGUCCGAUCAAUUUUUGUCCGUCAUAUUGGAUCCGCCAUUUUGAAAUUUCAAAAUCUAAGGUCAGAUUCGCAAGCAAAUUCUUCAAUAUUGAAAAAAGUUUAAAAAGUUGAGUUUGCCAAUCAAAAUCCACCUUGUUUUUUGAGAUUAGAAAAAAUUCAUGUCGUGAUGGGACGAAAUGGACUUCGGAUUUGUUCUCAACGACCCCGAAAACAUAUAAUACACCAGGUUUGGUUUUGGCGUCCUCUACUCUUUGGCACUACAGGUAUAACGUAGUCGGUCAACUAUUGUAGAUAUUUCACCACACCUUUUUCUCUCGAGUUUUCACUUAGAAAUAAGUUUUUUUAUAUCAAUAGGCACUUUCUAGUUCCUUUAGCUGACUAACUCGAGGUGUUUACUCUUAAACUACGCAAGGAAAUAUUUCUGGGGUAAAUUCUUAAUGUACGUAUGUAUUUGAGCAUAAUUUGAAAGUUUAGUCAAGUUAGAAAGAAAACAGUUAGAAAAUAUUGAAGUUUUUUUAGUUCAUUAUUACCCCUAAAAUAUGAUAAUUAAUUAUGGAAAAGUAUUUUCGGUUCUAUUCAUUAUUGCCAUUGAUAUCAUACUUUUCAUUCUAAAAUAGAUAUUGUAUUUACAAUUUUUUGAUGCAGUGUAUGUCAACUAUUAACCAAUAUUUUCGGUAAAAAGUCGGUCAUAGGCACUGGCGUUCAGAUAUCCGGUACCAAGGUUUUCUGGACGUAUAUCUUAAAGGUACUGAGUCCAUUCAUUCAAUCCGUUUCGAUCGAAAACUUGCCGAUUCGAUAAAAUUUUCGAUUAAGUUGAACUCACUUACCGAUACGAUAAAAUAUGCCGUGGCUAAUAUAUGGCGCUAAUUUAGAUAUCAAUGAAUCCGCAAAAUCGGGAAUAUUUGUCGAAAUCUAUUCGUUGAUGAGUAAAUUGCGGAAAUUAAAAAAAAUGGUGCAUUUUUAAGUAUUUAUCUGAAAAAAUUGCUAAGGACGCACUUAAUUACCUAUGUAUAUUUAAAUGUGUAAACACAUUAACAAAAAUUAAUGGGAAGCACAGAGGGGAAGGGAUUUUCACAAAAAUGCAAAAAGGUACGAAAAAUUAUCACGAAUUUAUAUUAUCGGUUAAUAUUGGUUUACUUUUAGGCUUAGACCGAUUUUAAGUCUGCAAUUAAAAAGAAAAUGGUAAAAAAUUAAAAAUUUGUAUAUACAAACAUGAAUGUAAAAGUACAGUACAUGUGGUCAGUUGAAGUUGUAAGAGCGAUUGCAGCAAACCCCUCUACGUAAAAUUAGUAAUAAGUGAAAAAAUCGAGUACGUAUAAUUUACGUAUAGUUAGUAAUAUGCGGAAAAAAUGCACAGUAUUUAGUAUGAAAGUGUAAUGUUCUCGUGUAAUUUUUGUAUAAAGUCUCGUUUAAAGUGAAUAGAUAUUGCAGCUGAAAAACCGUGUUAUUCAAAACAAAUGAUAGGCGAUGAUGACAUAGAGACUAUUCUGAAUGACGAUGAUUUCAGUGACAUUGCUGGAGAUGGAGAAGAGGAACAGGAGGAUUUCGAUACCGAUAAGCGUUUGGCCGAUAAAAUCUAUUUUCCUGUUGAAGUUGAUAUAGAAAAAAAAUAGUAAAUGCGUGGACUAUAAAACAGAAAACCACCACAGGAUCGGUAAAGCAUAAGUUGUCAAGUAAAAGGGUAAAACUUGUCGCAUUGCGAUACCAAUGGAAACAUGCUCCGGUCUCUAAUACAAAACUUGUGGAGGUUUGUUGUAUUUGUCUGCAGCUUUGAAGAGUAAUCAUUUAUCGGCUAGUAUUUUGUUUAAUACUACUUAUUCAGGCGAUCGAUACAGGGCAACGAGUUAAGUAGAUUUAAGUUUCUUCUGAACUCACACAUAUAAACGGCUAACAAUAUCAGCUGCAACGAGAAGACGAAGCGUUGAUCGAAAAUUCUUUCCGUAUCGAGUUCGAUUUCGAUGCGAAAUGAAUGAUUACACCCACUAUUUGUAUAAGGUUUUAAAUCGAUAGUUUUACUGGCGUGACUUAUAUACGGUAAAGUGAAAGAAGCAGAGAAAAUUUAAAAUUAUGAUUUGUGGACUAGGCAUGGUUAUGAUCAGGGGCGCCGAGAGAAAAGCCGGGCCCAGGAGUAAAAAAAUGUGGGGGACCCUUCCUACAGGAAUGUUUCUAAUACUUUAUAUAUUUUAUUAACUAUCUUCCCACUUCCUACUAUAAUGUUUUAUAGAAAAUACUACUUCAUAUUAUAUUUAUUCUUUCAUCACAUCUGUAUUAAAUUUGCUUUCUUGUUGAUUUUGGGUGGAACAAAUUUCUUUUGUACGAUUUUGAAAAUCAAUAAUGUUUAAAUCAGUUCAUACAUACACUUUAAGUUAAAAAAUAUUUUUUUUCAGAUUACACUGGAAUAUAUGAAUAUAGGGUAGCAAGACUUGGCAGUUAAUAGGAGAACAGAAACAUCUAAACACUCAGACGUUACCAAUUGAAACAGAAACGGCAUUCAAUAAGGGUUUAAAAUUUUGCAUCGUAAACUUGUCUGAGGUGGACAAUUUAUCAGAUACAUCAACGAAAUACUUACAAAAAAAAAAAGUUGCAAUUGCGUUGAGUCCACCGUCUUUCAUAUCAUGGCCAAUAGAAAUGAGAACGAUUCGUUAAUGUCGUUUAUGCGGCGAAUCUUCUCUUCAUUCCACAGAUAACAAUGUCAAGUAUGACGUAGAAAAUGUUUCUUUUGAAUUCAAUUUCUUUUUACUGCAAUUUUCAUCCACUUCUUCAUAUAGGCCGUGUGCGUGUUUUUGUUUUCUUGCUGAUGGUAAAAUCCUCGCGACAUUUUUUAAAUUAUCUGCAACAUUUUUGUAUUUAUUAUAAAUUGCAUUCCACUGGUCGCGCAGAAAUUGCAAAUCUACAAGAAGGUUUUCUAUAUUUCCCAGUUUCUUUCAUUGAUUUACUGAUUUCAAUCCAUAUGGAAGCCAUCAAAAUGUAGUAAAAUUUGCUAAUAAAUUUCAAAAUUCCAUCAACGUCUUGUCGAGUUUCUGCCAUAAGGUUGAGUUUUUUUUUAACUUCUUUCAAAGCAUUUAAUUAUCCGGGCAGAUUUUUCGCAAAAAGACUUGGCAUAUUCAGUGUGUGGACACCACAGGGCGAAAGAACUGCAUACUUAUUUUUACGUUAGAUGUGCUUAAGUGCUCCUUCAUAUUUACCGCUCAUAUUAUCAUCUUCCAAACGAAUGCUAUAAUUUUCCAAUGUUUUGCAAAUUAAAGCGGCAAUAGCUUUCCCAGUUUUUUCGUGACAUUCCACAGUGGUUCCAUCCAUAGACCUAAAAUGAAAAAAUCAAUCUCAGAAUUUGUCGAAUCUUCUUAUUUGCAAACCGGGUUUCGCUGAAAAUUUAACGAUACUUUCUAAAAAAAUCGAAUUAAAAGCAUUAACACCUGUUCAUUUUUAAAGCUCAUCCGAGCUUUGGUGAAAUGUUUCGAGUAAAGAGCGCACUUCAAAUUAGUACUUUUAAUGGAUUUUGAGGUUAAAAGUAAUUAUUUUAUCUUAUGAAAUUAAUAAAGAUUAACCUGAUUUGUGUUUUUUGUGUUUUAUGUCACGUAGUUUGUGCAUCUUUUUGUUCUUUAUUGCGCGUCUUCAAUUUGUUUACUUAAAGUUUUAAUUGCAUUCCUUUCGAUUCCUUCUUAGGUUUGUUUUAUAUUGUCUUUAUCAGAGUCUUAUGAUAAUAAGAGUGUUAAAGUUAGGAGCGGAUAUUAGCGCUUCUGGAGAAAGGUUUUAAAUAUAUUUUAGAAAGUGGUGAAGAAUUAGAGAUCGGUUAACUAUUAUUGUUAAAAAAGUUGAUGUAUCCCAAAUGAAAAGGGUAAAAGGACCAAUCGACAUUCAAGACGCUACUUGGAAAAGUACGAAGAAGACAUUAGCAUAGUAAAUAAGCCAAUCCAAUAUUUCAACAUAUUUUUUGAUGAUUCAGUGAUAAAAUUGAUUGUGCUACAGAGCAAUAUACAUACAUAUAUGUACGCCGUCCAAUAGUCCGCGUCUUAUACUAUGUUCGCACCAAAUUGAAAACCUCUUGAAAACACAACUUGUGGAUUGUGGAACCGAAGUCGUUCGCACCGACAUUUUGUGUUUUCGAUGAGUUUUCAUUGACAGUUCACACAUUUAUUUGUUUAGAUUAGUCACGUACGUUUAGGCCAACGAGAAUGGUAAGUUUUAGAACUUUAAAUAUUUGCUUACAAUUAUUAUUGUUUGUUUUAUAGAAUUCCGAGAAGAAAAAUUUAAUUACGAAAUUAUUGGCUUUUAGAAGCCAAAUACAUUUCUUGAGCAACGACGAUUAUUUAAGAGAAUCGAUAGAAGUUCUUAGUACCUAGCACAUUUGCCUUAAAAAGAAAUAGCAGACUUGAACAAAAAACAGUUAAUUCUGUUAUGUAUAAUAAAGGCCCUUGGGAUGCCGAUUAAAUCAUGUUGGACAAAGAAUCUAUCGGCUCGGGUGACGACUCGGUUGGUGACAUUAUCAUCGCUGAGGGCGAAGGAGUGCAAACAGGUUAUGGCAGUGGAGAUUCAACAACAAAUGUUGAACACGCAGCCGUUUCCACCGAAAUUUCCAUCGGUUCGGAGUUCGUAGGACCUUUUUAAAAAUGUAUAUACUUAUGUAUAUGUAAAUAUAAAUAAUAUAUUCAAUAAAAAAACACAUGUCUCUUACUUUCCUCCACUAAGCCCUCUGUGAGGUAACUUUUAUAUGACGACAGUAUUGCGCUCAUUUUUUUAAAUAAAGGCCAAUGCGAGGGGGAACCGCCAGUUGAACCGACUGCUAUUUUCUCCUUCCUAUAAAACAUAAUAACAUAUAACGCGUUAAUAUUUACUCAAUUUUAUUUACCUAAAUCUUUGCGACAGAUUGUGCAUCUUCAUUUUGAUUUCUGCCGCCGUGAAUGUGACACCUUGCUGCUGCAGCUCCAUUUCCUCCAAAAUGUGGCUAUUUUUUCUUGGCCCUCGAAGCGCACCAACUUUUUCUUCCCAUAAUUCUAUUAGUAGCGCUUCUCCCCUCACACUCCACGAAAUCCGUUUUUAUAGACUUUGUUCUCCAUUUGAAUGUAAACAAAUUCCCAGAAUGUAAACAAAUGGUCAAGUGACAUUUAGGGCUGGCGAAAUAUGUCUUCCAAUAAUAUCGAUUAAACUAGAGCAGGCACCGAUUAUAAUGCGUUAAUGUAAGUUUUCAAGGGGUUUUCAGCGAAAACUGUGUAUGGAUGAAAACACAAGUUUUCGCGUGAAAACCUCUUUUGUCGAUGAAAACACGAAUUUCGUGUCGGUGCAAACAUAGCAUUAGUCCAGCUGCUGAGUUUUAGAAUGACAUAGUCCCAAGAGCUGGAAUUAACCGCAAUAAAUUAUUUGAUGUCGCGAAAUAAAUUUAAGAAAAUAAAGAAAAUUAUCCACUUUUAAACACAUCUAAAAGUGAUAUUACUUAUGACUGUAAAAAAUUCGUCCACUAUUAUCGUUGCUCAAAGAAAAAAUGCAACAACCUAUCUCCAGAGAUGUGCAAAAACAAUAAAGAAAAGCUUUCGGUUGUCAGGUUAAUUGCAUAUUUCAGGAAGAUCAUCUUAAAACAGUACAACCCGCUAAGCCCCACAAAUGGGGGAUGAAAAUGUUCACGCGGGCAGACUCGUCACGAAUUAUUUAUGUAUGUCUUUGCGCUCUACGUUGGUGAUGGACUUUGCCCUUCACAUGGACUCGGCAUAUCAUCGGACAUUGUGUUAUACCUGGCAUCCGCAGUACCAAAAAUUAAAAAUUACAAAUUUUAUUUUGAUAAUUGGUUGACAUCUGUAAGCCCUGGCUUUUAGAAAUGGGAAUAUUUUGCUUUUAGAAAUGGGAAUAUUUUGCACCGGGACUGUCCGAAAAAGUUGAAUGGGAAAGUCUGAGUCAAAUUUGAGAAAGCUUUGCAGGGGAUCGUAUGAUAUGAAAUAUGAAGCUAAUCUUGGCAUUGCCGCAGUGCGCUGGCUGGAUAAAAAGUCAAGUAAAUUACUGUUCACAUUUGAUGAUAAAAAUGAACCAAUGGGGAUAUGUAAACUUUGGAGUGGGAAAGAAAAAAAAAUUGUUGAAGUUCUGAGACCGGGUUUGUUUCCAAAUAUAAGCAACACAUGGGAGGGGUUGAUCCUGCCGACAUGCUUAUGGAGCUGUAUAAAGUGAAACAUCUCAAACUCGUUAAUCAAAACGCCAAGCAUGUGCCACAGGUCAAGCAUGGAUAUCGCAACUGAGCUCUAAGGCGUUACGCCGAUGAUUUCCAUUUCUACUUUAAAGAAGGGAGGACGUCCUAGUGUUAUGCAAAAUGUAGAAACCGACUCAAAUCUGGCUUCAACUUUUUCCUCAGAAGCGUCUACUUCGAAACUCCAUCAUGUUGUUGAGGACGCCCUUAACUCAAAGCGAUAUGAAGAAAAUGGCCAUUGGAUACUUUAGGGAGAGAAAGGAAGAUGCCGUCUUUGUAAAACCGGAACACCUCUUUAAAAAUGCGUAAAAUGUGGUGUUCAUCUAUGUUGCAAUACACACAAAAACUGUUUUUUAUCUUAUCGCACUGAAAAUACAAAACAUAUAUAUGUAUGUGAUAAAUAAAAAUAAACCUCUUGUAUAUAUUGUAUAUAUACUUAUAUAAUUUUCUUUGCAGAUAUUUAUAUCUCUCAAAAACUGCUAUAAACGCAUAAAGUUGCUUAUAAGCCACUUUCUAUAUCUCAUGACCGGAUGAAGAUGGAGAGCUAAACCCGGGUAAAGCUUUUUUUGAAACUUAAUUGAGGUAUUUUAAGCCAGAGUAUCAAUAAAAUUUUUUUUUCAGAUAGUUGGUUUAGGUACGCGGCUAAAGGGUUAGGGGCUGGGCUACGCCCAAUUAAAAUAAAAAAAAAAAACAGAAACUGAACUCCUCUAUACUUCAGCAGACAGUUAUCCAGAUUUUAACUCGUCUCGUCAUCCUGAUUAUUUUUAUACAUACUUACAUAUAUGUGUAUGGAUACACCUCUAUACCUAUCUCGACUAGUUUUGUUUGUUUCAAGCAACUGUUAGGUGCUCUAUUAUACUCAGUUGAAACAUAUUGCGAGAGUAUAAAAACAAGUACAAAUUGCAAUAAGAGAAAUACAAAAAUAUAAAAAUUAUUCAUAAUUAAUUAAUACUUCAUAUUAUAUAUGUAGGUAUGUAAAUGCGAAAAUAUUAUACUAUAAAAACUUUUACAUAACCACACUUAUCAAUUGGUUACUCACUAUGUAAAGUAAUGGGUGAUUCAAGUUGAAAUACUUUUUGUGUCAUGUUACUUUUAUUCAGUAUUGUUUGUCAUUUCAUCAUGGAAAGACUUACGCCUGAACAACGUUUAUAAAUCGUUCAAAUUUAUAACGAAAAUUCACGUUCUGUAAAAACGCACUUCGCUCAACUUAUGGUCAACAUAAUCGCCCUACUGCGCAUACUAUUCGCAA